CUACGGGUGGCACCAGUGAGGAAUAUUGGUCAAUGGACGGAAGUCUGAACCAGCCAUCCCGCGUGCAGGAAGACGGCCCUAUGGGUUGUAAACUGCUUUUCUGAAGGAAGAAUAAUUCCGAGUUUCUCGGGAGAUGACGGUACUUCAGGAAUAAGCAUCGGCUAACUCCGUGCCAGCAGCCGCGGUAAUACGGAGGAUGCAAGCGUUAUCCGGAUUUAUUGGGUUUAAAGGGUGCGUAGGCGGAUAAAUAAGUCAGUGGUGAAAUCUCUCGGCUCAACCGGGAAACUGCCAUUGAUACUGUUUAUCUUGAGUUCGGCAGAGGUAGGCGGAAUGUGUAAUGUAGCGGUGAAAUGCUUAGAUAUUACACAGAACACCAAUUGCGUAGGCAGCUUACUAUACCGACACUGACGCUGAGGCACGAAAGCGUGGGGAGCGAACAGGAUUAGAUACCCUCGUAGUC
rnacentral:rRNA from 1 species